rnacentral:rRNA from 1 species
GAUGAACGCUAGCGGGAGGCCUAACACAUGCAAGCCGAGCGGUAGAGUCUCUUCGGAGACUUGAGAGCGGCGCACGGGUGCGGAACACGUGUGCAACCUGCCUUUAUCUGGGGGAUAGCCUUUCGAAGGGAAGAUUAAUACCCCAUAAUAUACUGGAUGGCAUCAUCUGGUAUUGAAAACUCCGGUGGAUAGAGAUGGGCACGCGCAAGAUUAGAUAGUUGGUGAGGUAACGGCUCACCAAGUCAGCGAUCUUUAGGGGGCCUGAGAGGGUGAUCCCCCACACUGGUACUGAGACACGGACCAGACUCCUACGGGAGGCAGCAGUGAGGAAUAUUGGACAAUGGGUGAGAGCCUGAUCCAGCCAUCCCGCGUGAAGGACGGCGGCCCUAUGGGUUGUAAACUUCUUUUGUAUAGGGAUAAACCUAGAUACGUGUAUCUAGCUGAAGGUACUAUACGAAUAAGCACCGGCUAACUCCGUG